rnacentral:rRNA from 1 species
UACGGAGGAUGCAAGCGUUAUCCGGAAUUACUGGGCGUAAAGCGUGCGCAGGCGGUCUGUUAAGACCGAUGUGAAAUCCCCGGGCUUAACCUGGGAACUGCAUUGGUGACUGGCAGGCUUUGAGUGUGGCAGAGGGAGGUAGAAUUCCACGUGUAGCAGUGAAAUGCGUAGAGAUGUGGAGGAAUACCGAUGGCGAAGGCAGCCUCCUGGGCCAACACUGACGCUCAUGCACGAAAGCGUGGGGAGCAAACAGG